rnacentral:rRNA from 1 species
CCUACGGGGGGCUGCAGUGGGGAAUCUUCCGCAAUGGACGAAAGUCUGACGGAGCGACGCCGCGUGAGUGAUGAAGGCCCUUGGGUCGUAAAGCUCUGUCAUCAGGGACGAACGGUCACGUCAGGAAAUGGGCGUGAAUUGACGGUACCUGAGAAGGAAGCCACGGCUAACUACGUGCCAGCAGCCGCGGUAAUACGUAGGUGGCGAGCGUUGUCCGGAAUUAUUGGGCGUAAAGCGCGCGCAGGUGGGAUCUUAAGUCUGUUCUGCAAGUUCGG